rnacentral:lncRNA from 1 species
AACCCUCAGUCUGUUUGCAGUGAGAGUUAUGAGCCUAGAUUCAGGAAAUUCACCUUAGAGCGUAAGUCAGUCUACUGCUACAAUUGCACACCUUGUACAUAUAAUGAGAUUUCCAAAGAGACAGAGAAAGGUCAUUGUGUGAAGUGUCCUGAAAGCCAUUAUGCAAAUACAGAGAAGAACACUGCCUCCAGAAAGCUUAAAGCUUUCUGGCCUAUGACAAUCACUUGAGAAUGGCCCUCACCAGCAUAGCUCUGUUAUUCUCUACACUCACAGCCAUUGUUAUUGGUAUCUUUGUAAAACAGAGACACACGCCCAUGGUCAAGGCCAAUUAUCGAGAUCUCAGUUACACUUUGCUCAUCACACUCUCCUUCUAUUUCCUCUGAUCUUUGACUUCCUUAGCCAGUGCAACGCAGCCACAUGCAUUCUGCAGUAAACAACAUUUGGAGUUGUAUUCACUAUGGCUCUUGCCACUGUGUUGGCCAAAGCUAUUAUGGUAGUUAUUGCUUUCAAGGCCACUUUUCCAGGGAGAAUGGUGAGUUGGCUAAUAAUAUCAAGGGCCCCAAACAACAUCAUUCCUAUUAGCACCCUGAUUCAACUUGUUCUUCAUGGAACAUGGAUGGUAACAUUUCCUCAAUUUGUUGACCAAGAUGAUCAUAGUAAACAUGAGCACAUCAUCAUUUUUUGCAACAAGGGCUCCAAUGUUGCUUUCAACUGUGUCAUGGAAUACCUCUGCUUCUUGGCACUUGGGUGUUAUGCCAUGGCCUUCUUCUCAAGGAAUCUGCCUGAUACAUUCAAUUAAUGAAUCAAAUUUCUGUCAUUCACCAUGCUGGUGUUCUUCUGUGUAUAGAUCCCCUUCCUCCCUGUCUCCCACAGUACUAAGGGGAAAAUCAUGUUGGCUGUGGAAGUCUUCUCUAUUUUGGCUUCCAGUGCAGCCCUCCUUGGCUUCAUAUUUGCCCCAAGUGUCACAUUAUCUUGUUAAGACCAGACAAAAACUCUUUUCAUUACAUUAGGAACAAAACACAUUCUAAA